rnacentral:rRNA from 1 species
CCUACGGGAGGCAGCAGUGGGGAAUAUUGGACAAUGGGGGCAACCCUGAUCCAGCCAUGCCGCGUGUGUGAAGAAGGCCCUCGGGUUGUAAAGCACUUUCAGUGAGGAAGAACGCCUGGUGGUUAAUACCCAUCAGGAAAGACAUCACUCACAGAAGAAGCACCGGCUAACUCCGUGCCAGCAGCCGCGGUAAUACGGAGGGUGCGAGCGUUAAUCGGAAUUACUGGGCGUAAAGCGCGCGUAGGUGGCUUGAUAAGCCGGUUGUGAAAGCCCCGGGCUCAACCUGGGAACGGCAUCCGGAACUGUCAAGCUAGAGUGCAGGAGAGGAAGGUAGAAUUCCCGGUGUAGCGGUGAAAUGCGUAGAGUUCGGGAGGAAUACCAGUGGCGAAGGCGGCCUUCUGGACUGACACUGACACUGAGGUGCGAAAGCGUGGGUAGCAAACAGGAUUAGAUACCCCGGUAGUC